rnacentral:rRNA from 1 species
GAUGAACGCUGGCGGCGUGCCUAAUACAUGCAAGUCGAGCGAACAGACGAGGAGCUUGCUCCUCUGACGUUAGCGGCGGACGGGUGAGUAACACGUGGAUAACCUACCUAUAAGACUGGGAUAACUUCGGGAAACCGGAGCUAAUACCGGAUAAUAUAUUGAACCGCAUGGUUCAAUAGUGAAAGACGGUUUUGCUGUCACUUAUAGAUGGAUCCGCGCCGCAUUAGCUAGUUGGUAAGGUAACGGCUUACCAAGGCAACGAUGCGUAGCCGACCUGAGAGCGUGAUCGGCCACACUGGAACUGAGACACGGUCCAGACUCCUACGGGAGGCAGCAGUAGGGAAUCUUCCGCAAUGGGCGAAAGCUUGACGGAGCAACGCCGCGUGAGUGAUGAAGGUCUUCGGAUCGUAAAACUCUGUUAUUAGGGAAGAACAAAUGUGUAAGUAACUAUGCACGUCUUGACGGUACCUAAUCAGAAAGCCACGGCUAACUACGUG